GCUGGGCGUGGUGGCGGGCGCCUGUAGUCCCAGCUACUCGGGAGGCUGAGGCGGGAGAAUGGCGUGAACCCGGAAGGUGGAGCUUGCAGUGAACUGAGAUCGUGCCACUGCACUCCAGUCUGGGUGACAGAGUGAGACUCAGUCUCAAAAAAAAAAAAAAAAAAAAAAAGACAAAUCAUGGUAUGACUAGUUUGCUUUGCCAGAUUUUUUUUUAGGUAAAGUUUCACUCUUGUUGCCCAGGCUGGAGUGCAAUGGCACAAUCUCAGCUCACUGCAACCUCCACCUCCUGAGUUCAAGCGAUUCUCCAGCCUUAA
rnacentral:SRP_RNA from 1 species